GCGGGUUGGGUCGCGCGCGGGUUGCUGGGCAAUACGAUGCCGUUUUGGGAGCCACUGAUUCAGGCCCCAAACGGCGCCGUUUAAACACCCGAUAAGAAAUAACCUUAAAACCCUAAAUGAGGUUGAUCUGCCAUUAAAACAUAGCAAAAAACUUUAUCUCUCCCCCUCCCUUCGCGCCGUUUCGAUCAUGAAAACCCCCAUCUAAACCCCGAUUUGGGCGGAGUGGACGAGGGCUCCGUCGGCGUGCCCUUGCGAAGGUGUUCGUUUCGAGUUGUUACAGGUAUCGUACGAAGACGUGGCAUGGCUCGGCGCGGCGCAUGAAGGCUACGGUUGCGGCGGCUGGAAAGAGCGGCGGCUGGAGCGAGUGGCGCUGGGGGCUGCUGUUGCGGCGCUCAUGCUAGGGCUGAAUGCCUAGGGUUUCUAGCAUUUGGUUUAGGCCAGUUGGGCCAGGGUAUUGGGCUUAAUUUUGUAAUUUGGGUUUGAGGCUCAAUGUAAUCCAGGUUUGGAUUCUAUGUAUUACUGGACUAUAUUGGAUCUUUAUUAUAUUUAUUAUAUUUAUUA